rnacentral:rRNA from 1 species
AGAGUUUGAUCCUGGCUCAGAUUGAACGCUGGCGGUAUGCUUAACACAUGCAAGUCGAACGGAAACGAUACUAGCUUGCUAGUAGGCGUCGAGUGGCGGACGGGUGAGUAACGCGUAGGAAUCUACCUAAUAGUGGGGGAUAGCCCGGAGAAAUCCGGAUUAAUACCGCAUAAUCUCUAUGGAGUAAAGGGGCCCUCUUCUUGAAAGGUUUCGCUAUCAGAUGAGCCUGCGUAAGAUUAGCUAGUUGGUGAGGUAAAAGCUCACCAAGGCGACGAUCUUUAGCUGGUCUGAGAGGAUGAUCAGCCACACUGGGACUGAGACACGGCCCAGACUCCUACGGGAGGCAGCAGUGGGGAAUAUUGGACAAUGGGGGCAACCCGGAUCCAGCAAUACCGCGUGUGUGAAGAAGGCCUGAGGGUUGUAAAGCACUUUCAAUUGUGAAGAAAAGUUAAUAGUUAAUAACUAUUAGCCUUGACGUUAACUUUAGAAGAA